GGGAGAAGCGACAUUCGAACUCGGAGCCGGCCAGAGGGAGGGCCCCAACCCGCCCUUCACUUCUUUAUGUCGUAGUUUCUCUCUCCAUGGGUUCCCCAUUCAUAAAAAAGGGAUUGCGGACCAUUGUCUCAGCCAAAGGGUGUGUUUUAGGGAGACUGAAGAGAACCGAGAACGGACGGGAUUCUAUGAGGCUGAGGGAGGUUUGGAAGAGGCCCCCAAAGGCCAUCCAGCCCAACCCUCGCCUUGCGCGACCCAAGCGCCCCCGACAGAUGGCCCCCAGCCUCUGUUUAACCCAAAUGCCCAAACCCUCCGAGGAAGAGGAGCAGCCGCGGGUCCCUUCGCAGAGUCAGUCCCCAGUGGGUUCAGUGCAGCCCCUUCCUCCUCGGUAAGUAAGUGUCCACAGGGCUGCAGCCUAUGAGAGGAGGCGAGGGAAGCCAGUGGAGGGGAGACUGGCAGCCUUUUCUUACCCCCUCAGUGACUUCUAAGCAAAGAUGGGAAGAAUAAGGCGAGCAAAGACCACCUUGCUCUGGGAGACAGCCAUGUCUUGGUGCUGAAUCAAUGCUGCUCUUCUUCAGGAGAAACCGAGGGGCUGCGCCAGCCCUAACCAAAAUCCCAAAGCCCUUAGCUUUUAAAUACUUAAAAACCUGCUCUUUCCCCAGGAGUUUCGCAGCCUCUGUGAUCCCAGCUUUUGCCAAAGGCUUCAGCUGACAGCAGAAAUGUGGCACAUGAUGUAGACGGAAGGCUCUGAUCCAGACUGUGGACUCCAGUAUGAUGAAAGGCAUGUGAGAUUCAUCAUCAUCAUCAUCAUCAGCAGCAGCAGCAGCAGCAGCACACAGCCCAGCACUUAGGUACUAGAUUACACUGGUGCUCAGCACAUGCCUGUGGGAGCUAAUGGACAAGGAAAUGGGGCUGUGCUGUAUCCUGUGGACAUAAUCUGCACAUAUAAUGCAUCCAGGUUGUAUCAGGUCCUUUGAAUUUAUACAGUAUUAUGUGUUGUUCAGUUUAGCGUUUUUGUCAUAUAUUGUUUUAAUCACCAUGCACUUGAUUAUCCCAGUUUGACAAAAGCUCCCAUAAUUGAUCUAGUUUGUUCUUGAUCCAAACUGGCUUGGAACUGGCUCAUAUUAAAAUUCAUUUCUAUAGGCUUUGUGUUUCCAUUGAUAAUCAUGCUUACAGCAGAAGUGAUAGUGAUAUAAGGACAAAGAAGACAAAUGAACUUUGGUUGUUUUCUCAGCCCAAUGCCUAAUCAUCAGGAAUUUCUCCCACAAAGUACCCCGAGAGUCAUAGUUUGUGACAUCUUUUGGACUCCUGCUAAAGAAAUUAUUCUACAUCCUAAAUUCACUUUGGAAAUAACUGUCCUAUGUAUCCUUUGGAAGUAAGCUUCAUUAAACUCAAUAUGGCUUGCUUUAGAGCAGGCAGAUCUACAAUGCACUUUACAUAUGUACCUAUGGGUAUGGACUCACUACUGCUGACAUGUCAUAUGCAGUGGCAGUACAGGUUGAGCAUCCCUAAUCCCAAAAUACAAAACCCAAAAAAUGCCUUUGAGGUGGCAGUUGUGUUUUUUUGCUUGUUUCUCUUUCAGAUCCUCACUCUCUCUCCAGCCACAUGACUCUUACACAAUACAAGUAGUAAACAAAUGAAACACAAGGCUGGGGUGAGAUGCAAAGAUGGAGAGAGAUGUAAGGAUCUGUGAAACAGCAGGAGGCAUAGAUUCAUGCUGAACAGUACACUGGGAUUCCUGCCAUGUUACAGAUCCUCAGUGUCUCUCUCCAGCCUUACGUCUCUACAUCCUACCAUCUUUUGCAUCUCUCUCUCUCCAGCCUUUCAAAUACAGUAUGUGCUAUAAUUCUUGUGUUGUGUAUAUCCAAAAUACAAAACGCUUCUGGUCCCAAGCAUUUUGGAUAAGGGGUACUCAAACUGUAUUUUAAAAGUGAUAGCAUACUCUAGCAAUAUUUACUGCAUGAGUAAAGCAUUAAGAUGCAGUCUUUUGCCCAUGCGCAGAGACAUGAUAAAUAUAAUUGCAUUAUCCACUGACAGGUCCCUCUCCCCAUUAAAAAAUAGGAUUGUACAAAAUAAAUUGGUGAAAGAGAAACUGUUCUUCAGUAGUUGUGUAAUCCCAUCAGAUUACAGUGUUUGCUGUCAUAAAAGAUGAUGGGUAAUCCAUAAAGGAUGAAUUAUGCAUCCAUAAAAAAUUGAUUAAUUUUGUUCAAUUGAUAGCAGAUUAAUAAGAUGCUGCACUGACAUUUUAAAAUCAAAUAUCUACCAAGAGCAAUGGGAAAUAUUGAUGAGCAGAAAACCUUAUAACACUGCUAUAGUUGUGUCCAUUAAAGUCCAUGCCAAGUCUGCCCCCACCCAGAACCUUAGGAUAUAGCUACACAUGUAAAAAGAACUGGAGUCAGGCCAAAGGAUCAUUAUCUCUAGUAAUAAAAUCAGAUAGUCUGUAAGUAAAGUAUACACAGCAGCCACCUGUCCAGUUCCUUUAUAAUUUUUCGAGAAGGCAAUUCUACAGUUUACUUGCACAGCUUGUUUCAUUGCUAACUAAACUGUACAUUCCUUCAAUCUGAAAUGUUAGCUGUUUCGUAAUAUAACAAUGUUGCAAGAUAAAGAUUUCCUGGAAGAUCCCAGAGUGCAUAUCCAUGGUAGUGCCUUUUUAAACACAUAAACACAAACCGUGGGUUGAUUACUUAUGCCAGCUUUCAUUUUAUCUCCCGGAUUAAAUUCUAUAGACUUGUUCUGUUUGGUUUCAUGUAUCUAAUUAUUCUAAUUUGAUAGCAGCAUUAUGGAUAUGUUGUUGAAUUUCAUAGGCUGGCACAUACAUGAACUUGUGUUAAUUGUUACACUAUCAUGUAACUAAGCUUGAGAAGCUGACUUCAGAAACUUCUGAAAUAACAUUGUUAUCAAAAUGC